rnacentral:misc_RNA from 1 species
AACUCUCAAACAAGAUAGAUUUGUUUCUAUCUCUGUUUGGAUUUGGACUUUGCUGCGUCAAUGCAGCUGGUCUGAAAUGUAUUAGCUGAUCCUAGUGAAGGGUCUGGUUCUACUCGGCAUGAUAAUUAUCUUAUGUUGAGGACGGUCUCAGGACUGGCCAGAUUUUUCUGUGGGUUGCUUCUAAUUGUCUUUGGACAAAUUAUCUAGU